GUUGUAUAGUUAAGUGACUAAGCGUACAAGGUGGAUGCCUUGGCAAUCAGAGGCGAAGAAGGACGUGCUAAUCUGCGAAAAGCUUGGAUGAGUCGAUAAGAGGCGUUUAAUCCAAGAUAUCCGAAUGGGGAAACCCAGUAGAUGAAGAAUCUACUAUCAACAAGUGAAUUCAUAGCUUGUUGAGGCAAACCGGGAGAACUGAAACAUCUAAGUACCCCGAGGAAAAGAAAUCAACCGAGAUUUCGUCAGUAGCGGCGAGCGAAAGCGAAAGAGCCAGUAAGUGAUAACAGUAUGGUUAGGAGAAUGUGUUGGGAAGCACAAUCAAAGAGGGUGAUAAUCCCGUAUCUAAAAACCAUAUUGUGGUACUAAGCUAACGAGAAGUAGGGCGGGACACGUGAUAUCCUGUUUGAAGAAGGGGGGACCAUCCUCCAAGGCUAAAUACUCCUGAUUGACCGAUAGUGAACCAGUACUGUGAAGGAAAGGCGAAAAGAACCCCGGUGAGGGGAGUGAAAUAGAACCUGAAACCUUGUACGUACAAGCAGUGGGAGCCCCAUCACUUAAUCCGAUUGGAAGGUGAUGAAAAGCAACCGCACUUAAACAAUGGUAAGAGGAGCGAAGCGAGUCAAACCACCCAAAAGAAGCAGUGGGAUUAAGUGAUGGGGUGACUGCGUACCUUUUGUAUAAUGGGUCAGCGACUUAUAUUUUGUAGCGAGGUUAACCGAAUAGGGGAGCCGAAGGGAAACCGAGUCUUAACUGGGCGAAUAGUUGCAAGGUAUAGACCCGAAACCCGGUGAUCUAGCCAUGGGCAGGUUGAAGGUUGGGUAACACUAACUGGAGGACCGAACCGACUAAUGUUGAAAAAUUAGCGGAUGACUUGUGGCUGGGGGGUGAAAGGCCAAUCAAACCGGGAGAUAGCUGGUUCUCCCCGAAAUCUAUUUAGGUAGAGCCUUGAGGUGACACCUUUGGGGGUAGAGCACUGUUUCGGCUAGGGGUCCAUCCCGGAUUACCAACCCGAUGCAAACUACGAAUACCAAAGAGUGAUACUCAGGAGACACACGGCGGGUGCUAACGUCCGUCGUGGAGAGGGAAACAACCCAGACCGCCAGCUAAGGUCCCCAAGUCUAUAUUAAGUGGGAAACGAAGUGGGAAGGCUUAGACAGCUAGGAUGUUGGCUUAGAAGCAGCCAUCAUUUAAAGAAAGCGUAAUAGCUCACUAGUCGAGUCGGCCUGCGCGGAAGAUGUAACGGGGCUGAAAUAUAGCACCGAAGCUGCGGCAUCAGGCGUAUCACUAAUACGCCUUACGAUUAACAAGCUAGAAUGGCGCGAAGCGGCAUGAAAGGUUGUUCAAGCAACCCGAACGUUGAGUCGGGGUAUUUUUUGAAGUAAGGAUUAUUAGUGAUACGCCUGUUGGGUAGGGGAGCGUUGUGUAAGCGGAAGAAGGUUCAUCGAGAGGUGGGCUGGACGUAUCACAAGUGCGAAUGCUGACAUAAGUAACGAUAAAACGGGUGAAAAACCCGUUCGCCGGAAGACCAAGGGUUCCUGUCCAACGUUAAUCGGGGCAGGGUGAGUCGGCUCCUAAGGCGAGGCUGAAAAGCGUAGUCGAUGGGAAACAGGUUAAUAUUCCUGUACUUGGUAAAGCUGCGAUGUGGGGACGGAGUAGGUUAGGUUAUCGCACUGUUGGAUAUGUGCGUUUAAGUUGGUAGGUGGGAAGUUUAGGCAAAUCCGGACUUCCUUAACACAGAGAGAUGAUGACGAGGCUCUACGGAGCUGAAGUAACUGAUACCACACUUCCAGGAAAAGCCACUAAGCGAAAGGCUUUACUAAACCGUACUGAAAACCGACACAGGUGGUCAGGUAGAGAAUACUCAGGCGCUUGAGAGAACUCGGGUGAAGGAACUAGGCAAAAUAGCACCGUAACUUCGGGAGAAGGUGUGCCGGCGUAGAUUGUAGUCCCUAGCGGGCGAAGGUUGAACCGGUCGAAGAUACCAGCUGGCUGCAACUGUUUAUUAAAAACACAGCACUCUGCAAACACGAAAGUGGACGUAUAGGGUGUGAUGCCUGCCCGGUGCUGGAAGGUUAAUUGAUGGUGUCAUCGCAAGAGAAGCACCUGAUCGAAGCCCCAGUAAACGGCGGCCGUAACUAUAACGGUCCUAAGGUAGCGAAAUUCCUUGUCGGGUAAGUUCCGACCUGCACGAAUGGCAUAAUGAUGGCCAGGCUGUCUCCACCCGAGACUCAGUGAAAUUGAAAUCGCCGUGAAGAUGCGGUGUACCCGCGGCUAGACGGAAAGACCCCGUGAACCUUUACUAUAGCUUGACACUGAACAUUGAAUUUUGAUGUGUAGGAUAGGUGGGAGCCUUUGAAGCAGUGACGCCAGUCAUUGUGGAGGCGACCUUGAAAUACCACCCUUUAACGUUUGAUGUUCUAACGAAGAUGACGAAACGUGGUCUCGGACAGUGUCUGGUGGGUAGUUUGACUGGGGCGGUCUCCUCCCAAAGCGUAACGGAGGAGCACGAAGGUUUGCUAAUCACGGUCGGACAUCGUGAGGUUAGUGCAAUGGUAUAAGCAAGCUUAACUGCGAGACAGACAAGUCGAGCAGGUACGAAAGUAGGUCAUAGUGAUCCGGUGGUUCUGAAUGGAAGGGCCAUCGCUCAACGGAUAAAAGGUACUCCGGGGAUAACAGGCUGAUACCGCCCAAGAGUUCAUAUCGACGGCGGUGUUUGGCACCUCGAUGUCGGCUCAUCACAUCCUGGGGCUGAAGUAGGUCCCAAGGGUAUGGCUGUUCGCCAUUUAAAGUGGUACGCGAGCUGGGUUUAGAACGUCGUGAGACAGUUCGGUCCCUAUCUGCCGUGGGCGUUGGAUGAUUGAUUGGGGCUGCUCCUAGUACGAGAGGACCGGAGUGGACGCAUCACUGGUGUUCCAGUUGUCUCGCCAGAGGCAUUGCUGGGUAGCUAAAUGCGGAAGAGAUAAGUGCUGAAAGCAUCUAAGCACGAAACUUGCCAAGAGAUGAGUCAUCCCUGACUUUAAGUCAGUAAGGGUUGUUGUAGACUACGACGUAGAUAGGUCAGGUGUGUAAGUGUAGUGAUACAUUGAGCUAACAGAUACUAAUUGCCCGAGAGGCUUAACUAUACAACGCUCAAG
rnacentral:rRNA from 1 species